rnacentral:rRNA from 1 species
AGGGAAUCUUGCGCAAUGGGCGAAAGCCUGACGCAGCAACGCCGCGUGGGGGAUGAAGGCCCUCGGGUUGUAAACCCCUUUCAGCAGGGACGAAAUUGACGGUACCUGCAGAAGAAGCCCCGGCCAACUACGUGCCAGCAGCCGCGGUAACACGUAGGGGGCGAGCGUUGUCCGGAUUUAUUGGGCGUAAAGAGCUCGUAGGCGGCUCGGUAAGUCGGGUGUGAAAACUCAGGGCUCAACCCUGAGACGCCACUCGAUACUGCCGUGGCUAGAGUCCGGUAGGGGAGCGUGGAAUUCCUGGUGUAGCGGUGAAAUGCGCAGAUAUCAGGAGGAACACCAGCGGCGAAGGCGGCGCUCUGGGCCGGUACUGACGCUGAGGAGCGAAAGCGUGGGGAGCAAAC